UCCUUAUUUCUGUUUUGCUUUCUUCCUUUGCUCUGUUUUUGGUUGAGGAAAACGAAAAGAAACAGAGAGAGAGAGAGAGAGAGAGAGGAACAUAGUAGAAGGGAAGAGGUGAGAACUCGAUCGAGAGUUUGGACUGGAUUACGGUAGAGGAGGAAGGAACAAAACCGAGAGGACGACAGGGGAGCGAGAGUUUCGGGGUGACAACAACGAAGAACCAAAGGGAUGACGGGCUAUGCCGAGAGUAUAGGGGUUGGGAAAUUUGAACUUAUUCCAAGGGUAGAGUUUAGAUUGCAAUUGGGUAAUUAACGAGCUUGCUAGGAGCCGAGGAGAAUGAGACUAUACACCCGGAAGGCUCUACUCGUUGAGUUAUCAUUUUAGGGGUUUUUGAUACAAAAAGGGACGUCUAGACUUCUACUACCGGAGGAUAACGGGCAACCCCCGCUUAUGAAAAAUCAAAUGAAGAUUUUUUAGAUGAGCUAGGAGCUAGACUAGCAGUACGGGAAAAUCGUUUUGGACAUCGGGGAUCAACGUGAAGAAUAUUGUAGCUAGACCCACUCGUAACAUAUGUAGUAAGUUCAUGUAGUGUGUUAUAAAUAUGUUAUAACCUGAAACUUUUAUUUAGUAGGUUUAUUGAGGAUGGUGAAAAGAGUACUAUCUUGAUAUGUAUAUAGAUAAUAGAGUUUAUUGGAUUUGUUACAUA